rnacentral:rRNA from 1 species
UAGGGAAUCUUCCGCAAUGGACGCAAGUCUGACGGAGCAACGCCGCGUGAGUGAAGAAGGAUUUCGGUUCGUAAAACUCUGUUGUUAGAGAAGAACAGCGCAUAGAGUAACUGUUAUGCGUGUGACGGUAUCUAACCAGAAAGCCACGGCUAACUACGUGCCAGCAGCCGCGGUAAUACGUAGGUGGCAAGCGUUGUCCGGAUUUAUUGGGCGUAAAGCGAGCGCAGGCGGUCAAUUAAGUCUGAUGUGAAAGCCCCCGGCUCAACCGGGGAGGGUCAUUGGAAACGGGUUGACUUGAGUGCAGAAGAGGAGAGUGGAAUUCCAUGUGUAACGGUGAAAUGCGUAGAUAUAUGGAGGAACACCAGUGGCGAAGGCGACUCUCUGGUCUGUAACUGACGCUGAGGCUCGAAAGCGUGGGGAGCGAACAGG